UACGGGGGGAGCAAGCGUUGUUCGGAUUUACUGGGCGUAAAGGGCGCGUAGGCGGUCACCGCAAGUCGACUGUGAAAUCUCCGGGCUUAACCCGGAAAGGUCAGCCGAUACUGCGGGGCUAGAGUGCAGAAGGGGCAACUGGAAUUCUCGGUGUAGCGGUGAAAUGCGUAGAUAUCUGGAGGAACACCGGUGGCGAAGGCGGCAUCCUGGACCAUUACUGACACUGAAAAGCGAAAGCCAGGGGAGCAAACGGG
rnacentral:rRNA from 1 species